AUGACUCCAUUGACAGACCUGGAACAGUUACUGUCUGCUUGUAAAGCUUCCGCUAGGUACACAAGAAACAUCUCCUUCCUCUUUACACUUUCUGUUUGAUGGUGGCAGCCAAGACUGAGCUGGGGAAUACACAA
rnacentral:snoRNA from 1 species